ensembl:lncRNA novel transcript, sense intronic TMEM91
CCUGGCCUACAGUAUGCUUCAUAGAAAUAUGAAAAGAAUGAGAGCAAGGUUGAGAUAGAAAGUAACAGGGCAUCCCUCCUGAGUAAAACAAUCCUGCCCCCUCACGCUCUCGUCUACCCUCCCGUGGGUCUCCCUGCUUCUGUCGUCUGCCAGAAACUGGCUGAGCCAAGUGCACUUGCAGACGCCAUCUGUUCUCCCUGGGAGUGGGGCCGGUGCCAGCGCCAGCAUCUGGACUCUUGGCAAGGAGCCCUGGAGCCCUGGAGCGAGGGAACUCCGGCCCCACAAAGGCCAGGGAAUCCUCCAGUCUGGUGAGACGGAGGGCUUCUGGGAAGGGAGGCCUAUACAAGGCUCCAUGAAGGAGGUGGAAGCUUGCAAGACGAUGAUAGUCUUGUAAUCAGUCCGAUGGAGAUGGAUGUAAAUAAUAAUAUUAAUAAACACCAUCAAAUGUG